UUCACCUGCAACAGCACGCACAGGUGAGGACCAACAUCAACCUCCAAGAGGGAUGCUGGGAAACGGGAAAGUUUCCACCCAGAGGCACGGUCUGGAUGCAACAGGACGUUCGGGCCGUAGGCCUGAGUAUAAUGAGCCUCUAAGAAAUGCUAAGCUUCCCUUGGCCACCUACGUCACUGUUUUAAUAGCUGACAAACUUGAGAAACACCUCUUAUAGCCAGUUUAUUUCUCUUGCUACACGUUAAAUAAGCCUUGGAGACUAUUUUGUGUUUACUAUUGGUCUGCUCUUUAUCACUGAUCAAAUUAUGACCCAGCACCGUGCCUCUCCAGUACCAGACAGGACAGGGAAGGCGCAACAUUAGAGGUGGAUCUGAAGGGAAAUUAAUAAAAUGGCCACACUUAGGCUAACAGAUGGCUUACUUUUAUGCUUGCCCUUAAAACGGUCAACUAACCUGACUGACUGGUUGCUACUCACAGCUCCAGGCUAGAACUAAAGCUAUUAAUUUUACUGUUUCUACUUUAUUCUGGUAAUUGACAGUAAUAAUCAUGCUUGGUUUUUGAGUCGUUCUCCUGGGAGAAGGUCGUGGAACUGUAACCUUACAAAGUAAAGCUAAAUUACCAGAAAGACCACGCUGUGGGUGCUUACGAGAUAAAGAGAUCGAAAACGAUCUCAGCAGAUCAAACUGGUCGCCUGGGGACAUCAUGACGCCCCUCUCAGUCUUAUGACAAGAAAAUGACUCUCUUGACUGUCACCGAUGUUUUAUUGUUUGAGCCGUGGCUGUAUAACCACCCACCCCAUCCCCAAAGGGGGCUCACAGUGUUGAAGGCACCAGCCUGCUGUAAGCCCCCUUUGCUCGGCAAAGUCAUAAAGCUGCCACUUUUCUCCU